GCCACUAGUGGCAGUAUUGAGAACUCAGUGCGGCUCCACAGUCAACCAGUCGGUAAUCGGAACCUGCGCCAUCUUGAUUUUUUUUAAUUGAUUAUCAUGGAAGUAAUACAUUCUCUCACAAAAUACUUUUGUGAGCGUACACCCGCGUGAUAUUGUUUUUAAUCUACAAACACACUAAAGAGGAUGACUUUGCGUCUGAAGAAUUUUUAUUUUCCCUCAUAAACUCACCAUACGUGUAUGAGGGCCUUAGUCAUUUAAAUUUUCAAAUAAAAUUACUACCGGUCACAAAUUAUGGGAUCCCAGCUGAAGACACUUUGCGCCAAUCUACUCCGAGGUUGGAUGCGUCCCUGGCUGACGGUUUUACUGAAGGAAGGAGAAGCAAACCUGACCAGGUAGCAAGACAGCAGUGGCCCCUUAAGACCAGACUAGGCGCAAGUGCUUGCACAAGGAUUUGACCUGCACAAUUAUUCAAGGAGGAAUGGAUUCAAAUAGCCCUCUGAGCAAAGUGGCACAGGCUCUAAGCAGAGGGGGCAAUCAUAGGCACAGAAUGAGAAACGCAAGUAGGGCAGCAGCUGGCUGGAAAGAGAAGAGGAUCCAAGCGAAAUAAAGAGAUCCCUGCUCAGGGCCCAAGGAUGAGAGCAGAGCCACUAUCCUGGAGCACACUCUGUGCACAUGGGCACGCAGACACCUAUGAUUAACAGCCUUCAGUCUAUUAAUAUGCUGUCUCGAGUUUCUGCCCAAACUGCAGAGAAUUUACUGUUACUUUUGCCCUUGGAACCGAUGCUAAAGAAUAGGCACCAAUUAUGCCUUUGUUCAGUUUUACAUUCAGCUAAUGUCUGAUGUUUUGGUUGUGUGUUUUUACUAUUUUGGAGAAAAUUAGUUACUCCGAUCUUUCCACUGCCACUGGGUGCAGUCUGCUCUUCUACUCUUCCUUUACUUUACCGUUAGCCAUUAAACAUUAAAGUCACUGAAAUUUGCUUGCUGACUGUUCAGUGUUUCACUCUGACCUUAGAAUAAGAGGCAAUUUUUCAGUCAGAGUCAUUCAUUUAAAAGUAAAAUCUGUAAAUGUUUAUCAUCAGGAGUUUUAGGCUUUCUUCGUGUUGAAGUUGGAAUAGCUAGUUCCUCAUGCUCUGUAGUCAGAACAAGAACAGGUGGUGAGGCUGUCAAUUAAGACAAAUGCACAGCUUCAAUAUUUUAUUCUCACUAUUUAUAUGAAAAGGACACACAAGGAUCAAUGGCAAAAACAUUACACAGUGUCUGGGGCUAUUUCCACUUCUUUGAUGUUUUUCACCCUGGUCUUUUUGUAGUCAGAGGACACAAGCUGUCUUUUCAGUGGAAAAGACAGCUUCUGCAUCUUCUGCUUAUUAUCAGAUAUGAUUUUUCUGGCAGAAUUUCUUCAUGUCAGUGAAUUGGUGGAAGUUUCCCAGGUUUACUAAUUUAAGUUGUAAUUAAACAUUUACAGGCUGUACAGUAGUCAGUCAUGUCAUAUAAUCACAAUGAACAUCUCAGAAUUAUAAUAAACUCUAUUGAUACAUUGAUGUUAUGAGAUUAAAAUGGCUCAUAAAU